rnacentral:rRNA from 1 species
UGAAUUGACGGGGAGCACCACGAACGGGUGGAGCUUGCGGUUUAAUUGGAUUCAACGCCGGAAAUCUUACCGGGACCGACAGCAAUAUGAAGGCCAGGCUGAAGACUUUGCCGGAUUAGCUGAGAGGUGGUGCAUGGCCGUCGUCAGUUCGUACUGUGAAGCAUCCUGUUAAGUCAGGCAACGAGCGAGACCCACGCCCACAGUUGCCAGCGUACUCUCCGGAGUGACGGGUACACUGUGGGGACCGCCGCUGCUAAAGCGGAGGAAGGAAUGGGCAACGGUAGGUCAGCAUGCCCCGAAUUAUCCGGGCUACACGCGGGCUACAAUGGUCAGGACAAUGGGUAUCAACACCGAAAGGUGAAGGCAAUCUCCUAAACCUGUCCUUAGUUCGGAUUGUGGGCUGCAACUCGCCCACAUGAAGCUGGAAUCUGUAGUAAUCGCGUCUCAAAAUGGCGCGGUGAAUAUGUCCCUGCUCCUU